rnacentral:rRNA from 1 species
GAUGAACGCUGGCGGCGUGCCUAAUACAUGCAAGUCGAGCGAACGGACGAGAAGCUUGCUUCUCUGAUGUUAGCGGCGGACGGGUGGGAACCCCUUGGUAACCCACCUUUUAGGCCGGGGUAAACUCGGGAAACCCGGGGCAAUACCGGGUAAUAUUUUUAACCCCCAUGGUCAAAAAUUGAAAACGGUUCUUCCUUUACCUUAAGAUGGAACCGCGCUGCAUUAGCUAGUUGGUAAGGUAAUGGCUUACCAAGGCAACGAUGCAUAGCCGACCUGAGAGGGUGAUCGGCCACACUGGAACUGAGACACGGUCCAGACUCCUACGGGAGGCAGCAGUAGGGAAUCUUCCGCAAUGGGCGAAAGCCUGACGGAGCAACGCCGCGUGAGUGAUGAAGGUCUUCGGAUCGUAGAACUCUGUUAUUAGGGAAGAACAUAUGUGUAAGUAACUGUGCACAUCUUGACGGUACCUAAUCAGAAAGCCACGGCUAACUACGUG